AGCAUUGACUAAUUUUAGCCGAUUGUGAUGGCAUGCGCUAAAGAACAUGCGCACAGUACCAUCAGUAUCCACCAGGGUUCUACGUAUUUGUAGUCCUGGUACAGUCCAAAUAUUUUAUAAAGAGCGAUAAGGUUUGGCUGCUUGAAUCUUGAUAUCAAAUGUAUGCGUACUUAUUCAAUUUACAUACAUAUAUUUCUGCAUACGUGUGUGAAGUUCUCAAGCCGUUCACAGCCUUAUUGAUGUCCGUGGCCCAAGUACUCCAAUGGAAUAAUAUUGGGCGUGUUUGGCCCCUUGUGCUACUCCACAAGCAUUACAUCCGUCCUAUGACAGAUUGCGCAUGUCCGAUCUGGACUCUCGCUGCUUGCUUAUGUCCUAGCGAAGGUCAAACUUCAUAAGCAAAGGAAUGAGUUAUAAAUGGGCUCUAUAAACGAGGACAAUUUUAGGAAAUUGUUUGACCUGUCCAACCGGACUCUGCCGUUGCCAGAAAAACCUGAUCUAAUGUCCUUGUAAGGUCAUGGGCAGACCAGAUGGAGGUCGAGGGUGGCGUCAUCUUAGACUGUCUAAAAAUAUAUAGUUUAGGUGUGCCGUGUGUGAUGUGUAAGCUACAAAGAAGUUUGUACACAACCAGACAGUAGCAGUUGUGGGACCUGAAAACUGUAGCAGAGAUGGAGACACUCCUGUGCAGCCAGUUCUAGGACUUCUUCGUUCUGCUGAGACACUACCACGAAGUGGCGCAGAACGAAGCGACCAGCUUCGGUCUCAAGGUCGGCACAGAAGUAAAACCUGCGACAGCGAAGCUCAUUCAGAGAGGCCAAUGCUUCGGUGCGCGUGCGCCUGCCGCCAUCUUGAGAACAACUGCGACUUUGGUUUAACUCCAUCUCCUGAAAAGACAGUCCUUCGCUGUUAAACGUUUUUCUUCAUACUGACACGUGUGCACAUCAACUGAGAGUGACUGAGAGGGAACACGGUAUUGAGAAGAUUAUCUGGUCCUGCGAGAGAGUUACUGACAAGGGAAUGAUGAAAAUUGCGUAAU